AACUUUCAACAACGGAUCUCUUGGCUCUCGCAUCGAUGAAGAACGCAGCGAAAUGCGAUAAGUAAUGUGAAUUGCAGAAUUCAGUGAAUCAUCGARUCUUUGAACGCACCUUGCGCUCCUUGGUAUUCCGAGGAGCAUGCCUGUUUGAGUGUCAU
rnacentral:rRNA from 1 species